UAAUGGGAGGCUAUGAUCUAGUUAUCUCCAUAACUAGCUCAUUUUAUGGACCUAAUAAUUUAGAAGAUUUGGUUAAUAUAUUUUAUAGGAUAUCAGUUGACCUACAAGUCAUAAAUUCUUCCACUGACUUUAUCAAGUCAUGAAAAUGACUAGUGAGUAGCAGGUCCAACCAGCAUGUCGUAAAUCCUUCCACUGAUUUCACC
rnacentral:lncRNA from 1 species